rnacentral:rRNA from 1 species
UAGAAGCAGCCACCCUUGAAAGAGUGCGUAAUAGCUCACUGGUCAAGCCAUCCCGCGCCGAAAAUGGUCGGGACUAAGUUUACCACCGAAGCUGCGGACUCCAAGCUUGCUUGGAGUGGUAGGGGAGCAUUCUGUUCACCUGCGAAGGUAAGUCGUGAGGCUUGCUGGAGGAAACAGAAACGAGGAUGCUGGCAUAAGUAGCGAUAAACAUAGUGAGAAUCUAUGUCACCGGAAGUCUAAGGUUUCCUGAGUAAAGUUCGUCUGCUCAGGGUUAGUCGGGACCUAAGGCGAGGCCGAGAGGCGUAGUCGAUGGCAAACG